GCCUGAAGGGACUGCGCCUGAACGUAGACCGCCGCGUAGAGCGCCAGGCUGGCGGCCCGGCAACAGCGGCGCCCCCGGCGCCCGUGUAUCCCGCAGCCAACGCUGCUGUUGCUACCGUUCUUGUGGUUGGUGCCGGAGGGCGCGGCAGAGAGUCCCUGGGGUCUCCCCGUGGUGGCCGAUGGCCCAGCUUCCUUAGCAAAGGUGGUGAUGGCAGAACUGGCCAGCCUGAAGUUAGAAAACAAGCCAUGGCCUGGAGGGACACAUUCUCUCCACUAUCACUACCUGGCUCUGUCAGAGCCAGGCCCAAGCCUCCCUGAGUUUUUGGCUGUGGGUUAUGUGGAUGACCAGCCCUUCAUCCGAUAUGACAGUCGUACGGGCAGGGCUGAGCUUCGGGCCGCAUGGAUGGCACCUGUGGACACCCAGUACUGGGAGACAGAGACCCAGAAACAGAAGGCAUGGGAGAAAGUACAGCAGGUGGAGAUGUGGACAGUGAUGGGAUACCACAACCAGAGCAGUGGCACACACACUGCUCAACGCAUGUUUGGCUGUGAAGUCCAGGAGGAUGGCAGCUCCAGUAGCUUCUGGCAGUUUGGCUUCGAUGGGCAGGACCACCUGUCAUUGGAUGUGGAGACACUGAGCUGGGUAUCAGCUGAGCCAGUGGCCGUGAGGACAAAGCGCUGGUGGGAGACAGAGCGUUGCUAUGCUGAGUACGACAAAGCCUACCUAGAAGGCCUCUGUCUCACCUCCCUGCACAGGUACCUGGAGCUGGGAAGCCAGAGCCUCACCAGGAAAGAGCCUCCCAUGGUGCACAUAACAAAGCACAUGACCCAGGAUGGAACCACACUGAGGUGCUGGGCCCUGGGAUUCUACCCACAGGACAUCUCAUUGAACUGGUGGCUGGAUGGGGAGGAGCUGACGUUGGAGACUGAGCAUGUGGAGACCCGCCCCAGUGGAGAUGGCACCUACCAGACAUGGGUGGCUGUUCAGGUGCCGGCUGGGAAAGAGGCUUGGUACAGCUGCCACGUGCGGCAUCCUGGGCUGAACCAUACACUCACCGUGGCCUGGGAAUCACCUUCGAAUAGUGGGCUCAUUGCCAUGGCUAUCUCCACAGUCUUGAUCACCAUCAUGCUGAUAGCUGUAACUGUAAUAUGGUCCAAGAGGUGCCUUCAAGCCUGGAAUAAGAAGUCCUAUGUGCAAACCCCAGCCCCUGGUGCAGGGUUUCAAAAGGAAGAACAAUACUACAAACAAUUGUGUUAAUAGCCACUGUACACUCGUAGUAAGGGGACACCAAGCAAGGUUGAAAAAGAAGACAGUCCAGGAUGCCAGCAAGGAUUGCAGAGGGGAACCACCAAUUUGAAUGUUAAAGAAAAUAUAACACCAAAGAGGAAACCUGUUGAAAUGAAAUGGACACUAUGAGAAAGAGUGACGUGAUCGGCCCGUGUCCUGACUGUUGAUGUACAACUUACUACUUUAUCCCUUUUAUUAUUUUUUUUGUUCUACUUAAUACUAUUGGUUGAACUCUGUAAUUAACACACAAUUAUUCUUUGGUGUUUAAAUUUAACUGAAAAGUGAUCUUGUUAAAUAUAAGAGUGGGAAUAAGAGAGGGAGGAGAUGUACAGUUUGGGACAUGCUCAACCUGACUUGCCCCAAAUGGUAGAGUUAGAAAUGUGCCAGGGGAUUCCAAUUCAAUCCCAUCAAGGUGGCAUGUACCAAUGCCAUCUCACUAGUCCAAGUGAUCAAUUUCAGUUCACAAUUGAUUAUACUGAUAGGUCUGAGUCAAAGGGAUCAUAUAAACAAGACUAAUGUCUGCUAAUACUAACUGAUAGAAUAAAAAAGAGAGAGAAUGAUCCAACAUGGGAAGUGAGAUACACAGCAGACUCAUUGAAUGGCAGAUGUCCUAAACAGUACUCUGGCCUCAGACUCAGUCCUUAAGGCAUUUGGAUCUGGCUGAAAAGCCCAUGAGAGUAUUUUAGGCAUGGAAAACCAAGACACUCUGGUAAAAAAAAAAAAAAAAAAAAAAAAAAAAAAAAAAAAACACCACCUAAGUGAAAGAUCUCUGUGAGUGAGAUCCCAGUGGAAAGCAUGGGCCAUUAAAGAAGGAGGUACCUUUCUCUGAAGGGAGGUGUGAACCUCCACUUUGACUAUGACCUUGUCUAAAUAAGGUCAAAGUCAGCGAACUCAAAAGGCCUUGGCAGCUCAUGACAAGAGCCUAGGGAGAUUACUGACUACAUAAACAAGAGUGUCAAUUUGCUAAGUCAACAACAGGAUUCACUGUGCACUUGCUCCACAUGUAGGAUCUCUGUCCUUAAUAUGUUGUUCAAUGUGAAUUAAUGCUAUAACUAGUACUCAAAUAGUAUUUUACACUUUAUGUUCUGUGUGGGUGCAAACUGUUGAAAUCUUAAUAUAUACUAAAUUGAUCUUCUGUGUAUAAAGAUAAUUGAAAACGAAUCAUGGCCGGCGCCGCGGCUCACUAGGCUAAUCCUCCACUGGCACCCCAUGUUCUAGCCCCAGUAGGGGCACCAGUUCUGUCCCAGUUGCUCUUCUUCCAGUCCAUCUCUCUGCUGUGACCCAGGAAGGCUUUGGAGGAUGGCCCAAGUGCUUGAGUCUUGUACCCACAUGGGAGACCAGGAGGAAGCACCUGGCUCCUGGCUUUGGAUCGGUGCAGUGUACCAGACAUGGCGGCCAUUUGGGGGGGGGGGGUGAACCAAUGGAAAAAGGAAGACCUUUCUCUCUCUCUCUCACUGUCUAAUUCUGCCUGUCAAAAAAAAAAAAAAAAGAAAAAGAAAAUGAAUCUUGAUGUGAAUGGAAUGGGAGAAGGAGAGGGAGUUGGGAAGGUUGUGAGCAGGAGGGAAGUUACAGCGGGGGCCGGGGGGGAGCCAUUGUAAUCUUAAGCUGUACUUUGGAAAUUUAUAUUUGCCAAAUAAAUGUUUUAAAAAAUUCAAAAAAAAUAAAAUAAAAUAUCUGAUAUCUGGAUAUGAGUUUAGAAUAGGAAGAGCCUGAGUCUUGAAGCCAGAGAGGAGGAAAAGGCAGAAUCCCAGCAUCAAUAAGCACUUUGGAAGUCCUUUACCAGUCUCUGAGCCCAAGGAUUGGCAAACUUUCUGUAAGUGUCAGGUAGCAAAUAUUUUACACUUUCCAGCUGAAUACCAUAUCUAUCAACAUAUUCUUCCUCAUUUUUGUUUUAAUAUAAUUUCUGUAUUCUCUUUUUACAGACUUUUUAAAAUUUCAAAAUCAUUUUUUAUGUUCCAAAACCCCCUCAGCACCUAGCUGGGUUCGGGAGGCUAGCAAUCCUCCUGUGGUUAGGAGAAAUAUUGGUUGGGGAGAUGGCAGGGCCACAAGAAGGCUGAAAACUGAGCCUCCCUCUACACAGGAAAAAAUUACUGAAUCUUCACAACAUGAGAGAAUGUGAAAGAAGCCCCUAUCCUAGUUGCCACUUGGAUUUCAGGAGAGGGGCAGUGUAUUAGUUUCAUUUCUGCUACUGUAACAAAAUACCUGAGAUCUUGUAAUUUAUAAAAAAAAGCAGUUUACUUUGACUCAUACUUCUGUAAGCUAGAAAGUCUAAUAUCAAUGGCAGUAGGCUUCUAGCUACAUCACAACAUGGCAGUGGCCAUUCCAUGGUAACACAGAGCAAGCUAGCAAGGGAAAGCUCACUUUUCAUAACAAAGCCAUUGUUGUAAUAACCUAUCAACCCACUAAUGCAUAAAUGGAUUAAUCUACUUAUGAGGACAGAGCCUUCAUGAAUGCAAUCAACUCCCAAAGGUCCCACCUCUUAAUAUUACUGUAUUGGGGACCAGAUUUCUAAAAUGUGAACUUUUAUAGCAGGUGGUAAUUUAGAGGUUAAAUGAAGAUGAGAAAAUAGCUAAUACAUUUUACAAAUCUCCCUUUACCUAAGUUUUUUUUUUUCUUUGACAGGCAGAGUUAGACAGUGAGAGAGAGAGACAGAGAGAAAGGUCUUCCUUUUGUUGGUUCACCCCCCAAAUGGCCACUACGAUCCAAAGCCAAGAGCCAGGUGCUUCCUCCUGGUCUCCCAUGCAGGUGCAGGGCCCAAGCACUUGGGCCAUCCUCCACGGCCUUCCUGGGCCACAGCAGAGAGCUGGACUGGAAGAAGAGCAACCAGGACAGAAUCCAGCGUCCCAACCGGGACUAGAACCCGGGGUGCCAGCGCCGCAGACAGAUUAGCCUAGUGAGCUGCGGUGCCGGCCCUACAUAUUCUUGAGAAUAGAUAUUCUGUAUUCUCUGGAUGCUUCAUUUCUGCCUCACCAGUUCCCUCAAGACACUCCCUCUGUCUCAUCUCUUCUCCUAGUCUUUCUCUUUUCUUCAACUGUUCUUCCUACCUGGUCUCAGCUCCUUUGAAGAUAUAGGCAGGAGCAUGCUUUUACACAGUCCUUCUUCCCUUAAUCUUUUCUCCAGCUCCUCACCUACCCCUACUUUUCCAGCCACCCCAUCUAUGCUAGGCAGAACCUGAAUUUAGGAAUGGGGAAGUAUUCUGACCUGGAAGCUCAGUUCCAGUUCUCCUUGAUGCUCUGUGGCUGCCUGGGCUCAGUCCUGAUUUCCAGGAAGGCUGUCAGGUCGUAUACUAGAAACUACCAAAUAAAUAAAAAGCACCAAAAGGUGUCCCACCUUAGGUAGAUCAGACUCUCGCUCUCCAGACAUAAGGCUCUUACCACUAAAUAUGUGGUGGGGCCAAUGCUGUGGCUCAGUGGGUUAAAGCUGAAGCUUGCGGUGCCAGCAUCCCAUAUGAGUGCUGGCUGUUGUAGGCAUUUGGGAGUGAAGAUAUCUGUGUCUAUCUCUGCAUCUCUCUACCUUUCAAAAAUAUUUUUUAAAAAAAUAGAUUUUAAAAAACUAAAGAUUUUUUUAAAACUUUAUUUUAAUAACAAUAAAGCCUGAGGUCCGCGCUGUGGCACAGUGGGUUAACACCUUGGCCUGAAGCGCCAGCAUCCCAUAUGGGUGCCAGUUCAAGACCCAGCUACUCCACUUCCGAUCCAGCUCUCUGCUAUGGCCUGGGAUAGAAGUAGAAGAUGACCCAAGUCCUUGGGCCCCUGCUCCUGCAUGGGAAACCUGGAAGAAGCUCCUGGCUCCUGGCUUCGGAUCAGCGCAGCUCCGGCUGUUGCAGCCAAUUAGGGAGUGGACCAUCAGAUGGAAGACCUCUCUCUCUCUGCCACUCUUUUCUCUAUGUAACUCUGACUUUCAAACAAAUAAAUAAAUUCUUUUAAAAAAGAACAAUAAAUCCUUUAACAUGAAGGCCAAAAUCUUGCCUUCUCCCAGUAUUUCUUAUGGUUCCACCUGGAUUGUAUUCACCUGCCUAGACCAUCCCCAUUUCCAUGGCUUCUGACUGGUCUUCUGCACAAUGCCCAGACCUAUCCCACAGUCCAUCUCCCAACCAACACCCAACAGAAUGUGUUAGGAUCAAUCUGCUUUCUCAGAGGCUAUUAGAUCUCGUAUUUCUGCCUAAGAUAGUGUUAUGAUAUACAAGAAAACAAAACAAAGUGAGUUUUUCCUGUUCUUUUACCCAACAGUCAACACAGAAUACUUUGGUGAUUUCUUGUCACCAAAAUGUUUGGGCAUUUCUCCCUACCAACAAUCAAUUAAUUGUGCAAAUUAUAUAGGAGACACCAAGUUUAUGCCUCCAAUUCACUUGCUUUUCUGAUACUGUCUAGCUAGAGAUAGACUCAGGUCUCACAAGACCUCCCCCACUUCAGACUCUAGUCACAAAUAAUCUUGUUACUUAAACAUCUCCCUGACUAUAAAUUGGGGUUUCCACAACCCCUUCCUGAGGUUUGACUAAUUUGCUAUAGCAGCUCACAAAAUUCAGGAAAACAACUUUACUUACAUUUACUGCUUUACUAUAGAGGAUAUUACAGAGGAUAUGUUAGGUAGGAAGUUAGAAAUUAGUCUAUUGUGUCAGGAGGCCUAAGGAAAACAAAACACCUGAGGAAAGGAAGGUAGCAGCCUCCAGCAAUCUUGGAAGCAACCCAAGACGAUACUACACUACAAAGUCCUGCCCAUAUCCAUAUAACUUCACAAGUGGUCCCAGCCUUUUCCCCAAGGAAAGAAUUUCAGGAGAACCCUCUCUUCUUUUUUUAAAAAUUUUUUUAUUUAUUUUAUUUAUUAUUAUUAUUAUUUUUUGACAGUCAGAGUGGACAGUGAGAGAGAGAGACAGAGAGAAAGGUCUUCCUUUGCCGUUGGUUCACCCUCCAAUGGCCGCCGAAGCAGGCGCGCUGCAGCCGGCGCACGGCACUGAUCCGAUGGCAGGAGCCAGGUACUUCUCCUGGUCUCCCAUGGGGUGCAGGGCCCAAGCACUUGGGCCAUCCUCCACUGCACUCCCUGGCCACAGCAGAGAGCUGGCCUGGAAGAGGGACAACCAGGACAGAAUCCGUUGCCCCGACCGGGACUAGAACCCGGAGUGCCGGCGCCGAAAGGCGGAGGAUUAGCCGCCUAGUGAGCCGGGGCGCCGGCUGAGAACCCUCUCUUCUAAGUGGACUACCCAGUCUGAUAACACUGGUUAAUAAAACCUUGGGAGGAAGUUUACCUAUUUCACACUCAGCAUACCCUUUUUCCAGGAGAAGAGGGAGGAGAGUAAAAAACUGUGGAAAGAACUAGACCCUUCUCACUUAUAAGCCACGGUCUGAAUACAGACUGCUUUCAGCACUUUGCUGAGAUACCAGCUUGGCCUAUCAGGUAUAUUUCAGCUCUCAGUAUCUCCAGAGACACCCCUCUGGUCUUUUAGGUGCAUUUCUCUUAGCUCUCAGCUCUUGAUUCUUUGUUUAGAUGCCUGCACUAUCAGUUGUAUUCUUUCCAUUAAACUAUGUAGCUUGCUUAACCCAGUCUAAAUGGGUAGGCACUCUUUCAGAUUCUGUCUGGAGAAGUGUCCAUCUGUUCUGACAUAUACCCUAGCCCAUUAAACAUUGCUACUUUGGUUACCAUUACUCCUCUAUCUCAUGCCUGAAUUCUUUACUGGGCGAAAACAAUAACCUCUGGUCCACCCAUUUCUGCUAACAGAUACAGGGAAAUAGCCAGGUAGAAGAGAAGUGCAGAUCAAGGCAGGGAGUUUCUGUGCCCUCACCAGAGCACCAACCUGAAGCAGGAAUGAAUUGCUGUACCUAGCUGCUUGGGUCCAUUGUUUUGUGCUCAAUGAAGAAUGAAAACACAGAACCAGGGGUUGGCAUUGUUGUGCCUGCAAUACCAGCAUCCCAUAUUGGCUCCAGAUUGAGUCCCAGCUGCUGUACUUCUGAGCCAGCUCUCUGCUUAUGUGCCUGGGACAGCAGCAUAAGAUGGUCCAAGUGCUUGGGCCCCUGCACCCACAUGGGAAACUUGGAUGAAGCUCCUGGCUCCUGGAUUUGGCUUGGCCCAGCUCUGGCUGUUGAGGCUAUUUGGGGAGUGAACCAGUGCAUGGAAGAGUUCUCUAUCUCACCUCAUCUUUCUGUAACUCUGACUUUCAAAAUAAAUAGGUAAAUAUUAAAGGAAAGAAGGAAGGAAGGAACAAAGAAGGAAGGAAAAAACAGACACAGGGGGGUGAGGGAAAGGUAAAGCACAGUUUUAUUGAAGUGAACAGAGACAGCUCUCAUAGCUAAGUGUCACAGCAAGAGGCACUUUGUGAAACAGGCCUUAUUGAAAGGAACAGAGAGAAGGCUCCUGAGAAGUAGUUGGAAGGGGGAUUUUCUUAGCAAGAACAAAAAACUGAUGAAAGGAAAUGAUCUGAGGGGAGUGGGAUGAUAAGUCUUUUGAAGACAUCGGCUAACUGUGCUGAGAGGGACCAAACUCAAGCAAACCUCUGAUCUAUAAAUUCAACUGCUGCAUUUUUAUAAAUACAUGUAAAUUUCCCGUUGUUAUAUUUGAUCUUGAAAUGAAAACAAAAACUUUAAAAAAAGAAAAGAAAUGAUCUGGGAAUUUAAGAAAAGUAUUAAUCCUGCUAUGAGCUCAUCCUGACUUCUCAUGCCCUAUAGCUACUCUUUGGUUAGUCUCUUGUCUUAGGUAUGUUAUCUUUGGUGUAGCCAAGCCCUUCUAUCUUGCUGUGCAUCACCUUGGGCUUGUUAGCUUACAAUCACAGGCUUUCCUCUCUUAGCCUGUUAAUUUAGUCUCAAGGCUUUUAUUUUUUAAGUUCCCUAUCUGGUUUUGGCAAAGUAUAUCUCUUAAAUGCAUGGCUUUGUGUAGUUUAGUAACUAGAGGCAAAGGGCACCCUCCUCACCGUGCAGUCCUAAGUCCAAGUCUAAUUCAACCUAGCUUGCUUUCUCCUACCUAUAUCAAACUCCCAGCAGUGUCCAUAUGUUCAGUUAUCCAGGAGCUCUCAAAAUUCACUUUUGGAUUUUUACAGAAGUGUCAUUACAUUGGCAUGAUUAAUUAAAUCUAUGCCCAUGAAAGGGGAAGUGUUGUGGUGCACCUGGUUAAGCUGUCACUUGUGACAAGCUAAACAUCAAAGUACUAGUUCAAGUCCCAGUAUGAGUUAGAAGGGUCAAUAGGUGAUUAGGGAUGGCCCCUGUGGGAAUAGGGAACAAGGUGUUUGUAUGAAACUGCCAUCUUCUGAUUAGACAAAAGACAUUACCCCAAGAAAAUAAGAUUGAUAGGUGUAAGGACAAAUUUUUAGGAUGAAGAGGCUUGUAUCUAGGUUUGGCUCUGGUAAACAAAUAACUUGUCUGCUGGAUGAGCUUCUCCUGCUUCUUGGGAGCCUGGCCAGUUCCCAGGGAAGAGGGUAAAGGAAUGUUUCUGAUAAACAGGUGGGCAUGCUUCGUGUCUCAGCUCUCUGGCCAAGAUCCGAGACGGGAUGCAUUGCUUGCCUAAAAUCUUGGCAAUGGGCCACCCUUGUCCUUGGGGUCUUUAAGAGGGAGCCAGAUCAAGCCUCUGCUGCUGCUGUUCCAUCCUGGGGGAACAUGCAGUCAUGCUGAACGUUGAACGUGCCCGUGACGAUUACUGAUGAUGUUUGGUUCUCAGCAUGGAUCCUUUACCGGUACUGUGUGAAGAUCGCCUAGUGGUAAAUUCCUGGGUUGAGUCCCCUACUCUUAGGGACUCUCCCCCCCCCAUUCUCUCUCUCUCUCUCUCCCUCUCUCUCUCUCUCCUGCUUCUUAAAAUUUGCUACUUAAAUAAACUACUUGUUUCUUUAUACUACAAGGCUUGCAGAGUAUUUCUUGUGGAUCGAACUGAAAGUAAAUAAGCCUGUGCACAGCAGACAGCUAAAAAAUAAUUUGCUAUCACAAUAGGAAUGUAAUGAGUCCCAUACCCACAGGUAACCAUAUGAGAAACUACUGUCAUUUUACUGGAACACACCACAAAGCAGCAUGUCUCAAGUGCUUAGCAACUGAAAAGUUUUAAUUCUCAAGUCAACAAUAUUUCUCAAUUUUCACAUGUCCCAAGUGGUCAACAUGGUAACAUUUGUUAACUAGUCAGGAACAAUGACCACUAGGUGAGAGACAUAGAAUCGCUUCUUGGCCUUUUGGCUAAGAUCAAGUGUGAGAGACAUAGAAAAAACAAGGAUGACUCAUGAUGUAUUUAAACUAUGUAAAAUAAUUGAUCAAUUGAUAUGCACUCCCUAUAUAAGCUCCCGGUACCCAGACCUUGAUGGACAACACCCUGGGAGGAACCCCUCUUGGGUACCAGGAGUCUCUGUUUCUCAAUAAAAUCUACUUUCACUUGCUUUGCUCACACUCUCUUCCUGUUCAUGUCUUAAUUCUUCAUCACCAUAAGAAAAAGAACCAACUCUGAAUUCCUAUAAUAGCUGUCUCACUUCUGAUCAGCUUCCUGCUGAUGCACCAAGGAAAGCAGAUGAUAGCUUGGGCACCUGAAACCCAUGUGGGAUAUGUGGAAGGAGUUCCAGGGUCCUGGAUUUGGCCUAGACCAGCCCUGGCCAUUGUGGACUUUUAAAGAGUGAAACAAUGAAUUGAAGAUGUCUCUUUCAGCCUUUCAAAUGAAAAACUAAUUUUUUUCAAAUGGUCAUUGGUUUAUCAAUUCUACCUUCACUCUCUUUCCUCUCCCAGAAGUUAGGGGUGGGGAAGUAGGAUUAAACUUCCAACACUUUAAUCACAUAGUUGGUUCCCCUGGCAACUAGCCCCCAGUUACAGUUAUUUCAUUAGAGUACAAAAGAUUCACCUUCCUAUGUUAAGGUAGACAGGUAGACAUUAGUCUGUGUGUGUGUAAGGGAAGCUGAAAGAAAUGGUAAUUUUGUGUGGAUGGAUGAAGAAAUGUAGAAGCAAGCAUUGGGAGCAGACCAGCAUUACAUAUGUAAAGUAUUGCUGUUGUUCAAUGGCUUUGUUGGGUGAGUCUUUCCUGUAGUUGAAUAAGAAAUCACAUCAAAAAUUUGUUUUUAAAGAUUUAUUUAUUUAUUUAUUUAUUUGAAAGCCAGAGUUAUAGAGGCAGAAGCAGAGGCAGAGAGAGAGAGAGAGAAUUCUUGGGCUGGCACUGUGGCACAGUGGGUUAACGCCCUGGCCUGAAGCACCAGCAUCCCACAUGGGUGCCGGUUCUAGUCCUGGCUGCUCCUCUUCUGAUCCAGCUCUCUACUAUGGCCUGGGAUAGCAGUAAAAGAUGACCCAUGUCCUUGGGCCCCUGCACCCAAGUUGGAGCAGCUCAGGCUGUUGCAGCCAUCUGGGGAGUGAACCAUCAGAUGGAAAAACUCCCUCUGUCUCGACCUCUCUCUGUAACUCUGUCUUUCAAAUAAAUAAAAUACUCAUUCAAUGGUUCAUCCCCCAAAUGGCUGCAGGGGCUGGAGCUGAGCCAAUCCAAAGCUAGGUGCCAAGAGUUUUUCUUUCAGGUCUCCCAUCCCACAUGGAUGCAGAGUCCCAAGGACUUGUGCCAUUUUCGAUUGCUUUCCCAAGCCAUAGCAGAGAGUUGGAUUGGAAGUGGGUCUCGUACCAGUGUCCAUAUGGGAUGCCAGCACUGCAAGUGACAGCUUUAUCCCCUAUGCCACAGCACUGUCCCUGUAUCAAAAGUCUUGUCAUUGUUCAAUAACUUUUUUGGGUGUGUCCCAACCCUCUCCCUGGGGGCAGCUCAGGGAGAUCUCAUCUGUCCUGCACAAAGGUGGCUGUUAGGUCCAUUAUAAAGCUCUGAGGAAUUUUAGGAAUUCCAUCCUCAGAAAGCCCUCCACCCAGCAAUAUCCCAGAAAGGAUGGGAGGGAGGGAAAAUGGAGGGCCCAUAUCCAAAUCCAUAAAAAACUCCAGUGUGAAUGCAGACUGGACUCAGUUUUUUUCCUUAGAUGCCCACGUGGUCUAUUAGGUGUACUCUCUUCAUUACUUCUCUUCAUUAAACUUGGCUGGAAUGCUUGCUGCUACUCUCUGUUUCACAACUGAAUUUUCUCUUGUGCAAAGAUAAGAACCUCCUAGUAGCCAUAUCUGGAAACAUCUGGAAAAAAACUUAUUCGUGGCUUAGGCAGCACUUUUCUUAGGUACUCUAAUAAUGGCUCUACUCCCAACCUGUAUAUAUUGAUGGCCCUCUCCCCCACUUAAUGUUGUAUGAUUUCAGAAUUUCUCUACAGACAACCCCUCUACCUGCAAAAGUUAAGCGGCCUUUUUCCCGGUCUUGGUUGGGAUCGGCUUUAAACCACAUCCAUCAAACAGUCCUCACAAGGGUCCAGAGACCCCCCCCAUUUCCUCUCCUCUAUGAAAUUCUCUCAUUACCUGGUUAAUGCCACUCUUAGGAUCAUUUGUUGCUAUUCUUGUGCUGUCUUUUAUGCUACAGUGUCUGUUUAAGUGUUUACAGGUGUUGAUAAUGGAACGAACCAAGGUCUUCACCAACCCAGUGGUCUACCAAAUGCUGCUACAGGGAUAUACUCAGCUCCCCACCCAGGAGACAGCAGCUUGAGAUAUUGCCCCAUGCUAGCAAAGAGUACCUCGAUGCCCCAUGUCAGCAGGAAGUAGCUCUAAAGACAGAUCAUCGUCCCUCUACCCCUCCUGGACUUUUGGGACAAAUGUAAUUCCAUACAACUCCUGUUGGGAAUAUGGCACAGUUUUAUCCAUGGCACGAUCUACACCCCAACACCAUCUUAGGCUCUAGCCCCUGCUGCCAUUGCUGGAAGCCUGGUGUCCACAUGGCCCAACCAACGUUGUCAAGUUCCACACCCAUCCUAAUGGGAUUUGCUGCUCCUGCUUCCCUGCCCACCCUCUGGUAAAGUUUUAAAAGGAGCUGUUCCUGAACACAUGGCUCUCUCGCUGUCUCUCUGCUCUCUUGGCUUCUCUCUUGCUCCCCUCCCUCCUCUCUCUCUCUUUUUCCUCUCUCCUCUCUCCUCUCUCCUCUCCUCUCUCUUCUCUCUCAGCUCCUCUCUGUUCUCUCUCUUCUCUCCUUGCUAGCUCCUCUCCUCUCUUCUCUCUCUCUCUUACACUCUCCUUCUCUCUCUUUUUCCUUCUCCAUCCCUUCCCUCCGGUCCCUUUCCCUUACUCCAGUGUUUGGUGUGUUUUGUGAUGACCUUACAUAUUCAACUCCUUAAUCUUAAGUCCUUUAGUAUGUACUCAGUUCCUUCCUUAAUGCCAUUUAGUAGGACUUUUGUGGCUCUCCUAAAGACCCUCCUAUCCAGUGUAUCACCUCUUGGUUUAACUCACUCUUUGCUUUGAUUACUACAGUAGCUUCCUAAUUCUUGAUUCUAGUCCUACUCCUUCAACCCAUCCCUCACUCUGAUAAAAAAUGCCUUCUGGUAAAAUAAAAUCUUGGUAGGAGAGAGAUGAGGUCAGAAUCCUAUAGAGACUGCUCUGGGUUUAAAAAUAAUAACCAAAUUUCUUAUAUGUAAAUGUCUUCCAGACUACCUUGGAUUUUAAUUUUUCUCACCUUACCUCUCAAAGCCAUCCCUCUGUAGUCAAGCUGAUAUCUCUGCCUGAAACAACCUUCUUUAAGUACUUUUACCAUUCAGCUGUAAAAAAGAGCCCUGAGGGGAUUCAACUACAUAUUGAGUCCUUCACAGGCACUCACAACAGCCUUCAUCUCUGCAUUUGAGGAAAAGCUGGACAACCCCUCAAACCCCCCACAGAUCUGAACGCUGGCAGGACAGGAUGGAGGCCACUCCUCCUAGAGAAGAUGUUAUGUAUCUCUGUCAGAAAGUAUUUGUACGGAGCAGCUAUAUUGUGGUACGUGGCAGAGGGGGCCACAGAAGCAAGUUCAUCUCGCCGGUCGCGCUACGUGGCGCCGCCAUCUUGAGCAGAGAGGAAUCAUGAGCGCCGCCCUCUUGAACAGAGGUGAAUUAUGGGCCACGCCAUCUUGCGCGAAUGUGAGGAUAUUUCCGCUUCCGGCAAGGGGCUGUUCUCUCUUUUCCUCGGCAGGGCCGCGGCGGGAGUGGCAGCGCUGCUGGGCUCUCUGUGCUAUCCGGUGCCAUCCUCGUCGCUGCGGCGACACUCGCACCCGCUGCCGCCAUGACUGAGCAGAUGACCCUUCGUGGCACCCUCAAGGGCCACAAUGGCUGGGUUACCCAAAUCGCUACCACCCCGCAGUUCCCGGACAUGAUACUGUCCGCCUCUCGAG